GGGAAAUUAGCUCAGUGGGUAGAGCAUCAGACCCAUAAUCUGACUGUCGCAAGUUCGACUCUUGCAUUUCCGA
rnacentral:tRNA from 1 species